CCUACGGGAGGCAGCAGUGGGGAAUAUUGGACAAUGGGCGAAACCCUGAUCCAGCCAUGCCGCGUGUGUGAAGAAGGCCUUCGGGUUGUAAAGCACUUUCAGUGGGGAAGAAAGCCUUGGGGCUAAUACCCUCGAGGAAGGACAUCACCCACAGAAGAAGCACCGGCUAACUCCGUGCCAGCAGCCGCGGUAAUACGGAGGGUGCGAGCGUUAAUCGGAAUUACUGGGCGUAAAGCGCGCGUAGGCGGUCUGAUAAGCCGGUUGUGAAAGCCCCGGGCUCAACCUGGGAACGGCAUCCGGAACUGUCAGGCUAGAGUGCAGGAGAGGAAGGUAGAAUUCCCGGUGUAGCGGUGAAAUGCGUAGAGAUCGGGAGGAAUACCAGUGGCGAAGGCGGCCUUCUGGACUGACACUGACGCUGAGGUGCGAAAGCGUGGGUAGCAAACAGGAUUAGAUACCCCAGUAGUC
rnacentral:rRNA from 1 species